CCUACGGGAGGCAGCAGUGAGGAAUAUUGGUCAAUGGACGAGAGUCUGAACCAGCCAAGUAGCGUGAAGGAUGACUGCCCUAUGGGUUGUAAACUUCUUUUAUAAGGGAAUAAAACGAGGCACGUGUGCCUUUUUGCAUGUACUUUAUGAAUAAGGAUCGGCUAACUCCGUGCCAGCAGCCGCGGUAAUACGGAGGAUCCGAGCGUUAUCCGGAUUUAAUGGGUUUAAAGGGAGCGUAGAUGGGUUGUUAAGUCAGUUGUGAAAGUUUGCGGCUCAACCGUAAAAUUGCCAUUGAUACUGGCAGUCUUGAGUAGAGUUGAGGUAGGCGGAAUGCGUGGUGUAGCGGUGAAAUGCUUAGAUAUCACGAAGAACCCCGAUUGCGAAGGCAGCUUACUAAACUGUGACUGACAUUGAUGCACGAAAGUGUGGGUAUCAAACAGGAUUAGAUACCCUAGUAGUC
rnacentral:rRNA from 1 species